AUUUAUUCUGAAUAACUUCUGAUUUUUGAACUGCUAAAUCUUAUAAUUUUGCUUGGUUUGAUGAUUUUAUAAGGUGACUGGGAAGGCAUAUCUUGUCCAAGUUGAUAGUUAGUAUAGUUCUGCAGUAGACUCAUCUUUUUAACCCCUAGAUGGGCCUUUACCUAUAUACAUAUCUCAAAGUGAUUACACACACAGUUAUCAUAUACAUAUGAAAAUUUCCUUUUCCCAUUAAUUGAACUAGUUUUACAUAUUUAUUCUCAGUCUUAUGUUUGUUUCAGUUAACAACACUAUUUUU
rnacentral:lncRNA from 1 species